AUGGUUUUGGGACCUGAGCUCAAGCAUGGAACUGUUUCAUUUCUUCAUGUGGAAGAUCCAGAAGGACACAAAGCUUUAGGGGCCAGGAUUUUACCCACACCUCAAGAGCCUGUGAAUCUGAAGGAGAAGGCACAGACCUACUGAGGCUGGCCAUAGUGUUCAUGAAUUGCCAGAGACACCUGAGGAACAGGAUCUACACAGUUAAUUCCAAACUUCACUGCCAGAACCAGCACUCCUGAUCUGCUA
rnacentral:lncRNA from 1 species